AUACGGAGGGGGUUAGCGUUAUUCGGAAUUACUGGGCGUAAAGCGAACGCAGGCGGCCCGGCAAGUCGGGUGUGAAAGCCCGGGGCUCAACCCCGGAAUUGCACUCGAAACUGCCGGCCUCGAGUACGGGAGAGGGAAGCGGAAUUCCUAGUGUAGAGGUGAAAUUCGUAGAUAUUAGGAGGAACACCCGUGGCGAAAGCGGCUUCCUGGCCCGAUACUGACGCUCAUGUUCGAAAGCGUGGGGAGCAAACAGGAUUAGAAACCCCAGUAGUCC
rnacentral:rRNA from 1 species